UCCUGGCUCAGGAUGAACGCUAGCGGCAGGCUUAAUACAUGCAAGUCGUGGGGCAGCAUGAGUAGCAAUACUUGAUGGCGACCGGCAAACGGGUGAGGAACACGUUCACAACCUUCCUUCAAGCGGGGAAUAGCCCAGAGAAAUUUGGAUUAAUACCCCAUAAUAUAUUUGAUAAGGCAUCUUAUUAAUAUUAAAAGCUUCGGCACUUGAUGAUGGGUGUGCGGCUGAUUAGAUAGUUGGCGGGGUAACGGCCCACCAAGUCUACGAUCAGUAGCUGAUGUGAGAGCAUGAUCAGCCACACGGGCACUGAGACACGGGCCCGACUCCUACGGGAGGCAGCAGUAAGGAAUAUUGGACAAUGGACGAAAGUCUGAUCCAGCCAUGCCGCGUGAAGGAUUAAGGUCCUCUGGAUUGUAAACUUCUUUUAUAUGGGACGAAAAAGGGCAUUCUUGUUCACUUGACGGUACCAUAUGAAUAAGCACCGGCUAACUCCGUG
rnacentral:rRNA from 1 species